rnacentral:rRNA from 1 species
AUGACUCCUCCUUUGUCAUCCCGUUCUGCGGCAGCAAAUUUCGGCGGCCAUCCCGUUGAACAGCUUGGAUCUAGGGCGUCGGCGAGCAACUGCAGGUGCAGGGGGGACGAGAGGGACGAAGACGUGGCAAAGGAGCUCCAGCUCGAUCUUCUCGGCUGCCGGCGGAGGAGCGGAGCCCCCCGCGCGCAGGUCUGGCCUGAUUCUUCUCGUCCGCCGUCGUGCGUUCAGAGGCCUCCCGCGCUCGAGCUCCUACAGGUGACAGGCAUCUCGUUCUUGCUGAUUGUUGUUGCCGCCACUGAGCUUCUCUGA